rnacentral:lncRNA from 10 species
CGGCUGUCCUACCACAGGGUUAUUUUUGCCCAGCUAAGUCGGGUGGACCGAGAGGAUAGGAGAGGGUGGGCUAUUAAGAAAACAUUAGUUUAGGUCAAUUCAAAGAGAACUUUUUUUUUUUUUUUGACAAAGUUUCACUCUGUCACCCAGGCUGGAGUGCAGUGGUGCGAUGACAUUUUAAAAGCAUGCUGCAAGCUUUUUUUCCCCUGCCUUCUCCCUCUCUCUCUCUCUUUCUACCUAUUACUUCUUUCUUUUAAUUAUAAAAGGCCAUAUGCAAGAGAGGCCCUGUCAUCAUACAGGCCACCAUCUGUUGGCAGGAAUGCAAUGUGCUCUGGCCGGGGUGGCCUCAGUUAACGGGUCUACCGACUGCUAGUCAGUUGAAAAAUCUCUUCAACUUUCUCACUGGCCCUACAGUGUUUGUCAAAGGCAAAUACUGAACUGGGGCACAGCAGUGUUUUAAGUCAGAAAUUUGUGGUAUGGGCAAGAAUGCAAAGUUUCCUCCAAUCCACAAUCCUCAAGUUCUCUGUGUGCGUCUCGCCCCCGGCCAGCCAGCCAGCCAGCCAAUGUCCUCUGGGUAUCACCAGCCUCCGUGAACAAAACACGGACCCUGCCUUCCAGGGGCGUACAGUUCAGGUGGGGGGCCAGCCACGUACAAGCCUGCACAGACUUCACACGCCUGCCACCAUGGGGAGUCUCACUGUGCCCUGACCUGGCCGGGUGGGGGCACAGCUAAUCAGGAAUAAGAACAGAAGCAGACACAGCGAACCCGGGAAGCUGUGGUGUGGAGGUGGCUUCGGCCAAGCCUGGUUUUGGGGAACCCAGGAAACCGUGGUGUGGAGGUGGCUUCGGCCGAGCCUGGUUUUCUGCUCCCUCCAGGGUCUCCUGCAAUUCCACAUGGCAGCUUGAGUGAAUGAGUGGAUGCGCCAUGCUCUGGGAUAGCACCGGAGAAACGGUCCUGGCCUGCCACGGGGUCCUGGUAGAAGAGUGCAGAACACUAAAAAAGCAGCAACCGGCAGAUUGAAUGUAGGGGGCGGGGGAGCAUCCAGGAAGGGCCCCCUGAGGACAGGAGAUAUAAGCUGAGUUGAGGUUUAACAAAUGGAUUAGCCAGGCAAAACGUGGGUUGGGGAGCUGGGGAAAGAAGGUUUUCAGGCACAGGGAAGUGGGGAAGAGGCUUUG